rnacentral:lncRNA from 1 species
UCAGUCAAUUUUGCUCAAAAAUGCAGAAUUUGGAUAACAAAGCAGAUUUGAGACACCAUCUUCAACUUUAAGUGCACUAACCAUUUUACAUGUCAUCGUCGUAUCAAACAAACAAAUCAAAGACAUGCAUGUUUUCAAGCAUUCAUACAUCUCAAAUCUCAUACGCACAUUCUUGUUUAGACAAAGUAGUUUCUCACAAAAGAUCAAUGAGUGCACAUUUU